UAUGGGUGUGCCAGCAGCCGCGGUAAUACGGAGGAUGCGAGCGUUAUCCGGAUUUAUUGGGUUUAAAGGGAGCGCAGACGGGUCGUUAAGUCAGCUGUGAAAGUUUGGGGCUCAACCUUAAAAUUGCAGUUGAUACUGGCGUCCUUGAGUGCGGUUGAGGUGUGCGGAAUUCGUGGUGUAGCGGUGAAAUGCUUAGAUAUCACGAAGAACUCCGAUUGCGAAGGCAGCACACUAAGCCGUAACUGACGUUCAUGCUCGAAAGUGUGGGUAUCAAACAGG
rnacentral:rRNA from 1 species